rnacentral:rRNA from 1 species
CGGCGAGUGAAGCGGCAACAGCUCAAAUUUGAAAUCUGGCCGCAAGGUCCGAGUUGUAAUUUGUAGAGGAUGUUUCGGGUGUGGUCCAGUCUAAGUUCCUUGGAACAGGACGUCAUAGAGGGUGAGAAUCCCGUAUGUGACUGGGUGCCUAAUCCCAUGUGAAACUCCUUCAACGAGUCGAGUUGUUUGGGAAUGCAGCUCAAAAUGGGUGGUAAAUUUCAUCUAAAGCUAAAUAUUGGCCAGAGACCGAUAGCGCACAAGUAGAGUGAUCGAAAGAUGAAAAGCACUUUGGAAAGAGAGUUAAACAGUACGUGAAAUUGUUGAAAGGGAAGCGCUUGCAACCAGACUUGCACGCAGCUGAUCAUCCGGUGUUCUCACCGGUGCACUCGGUUGCGUUCAGGCCAGCAUCGGUUUUGGUGGUGGGAUAAAGGCCCUAGGAAUGUGGCUCCUCUCGGGGAGUGUUAUAGCCUAGGGUGCAAUGCCGCCUACCGGGACCGAGGACCGCGCUUCGGCUAGGAUGCUGGCGUAAUGGUUGUAAGCGACCCGUCUUGAAACACGGACCAAGGAGUCUAACAUCUAUGCGAGUGUUUGGGUGUCAAACCCAUACGCGUAAUGAAAGUGAACGGAGGUGAGAACCCUUAAGGGUGCAUCAUCGACCGAUCCUGAUGUCUUCGGAUGGAUUUGAGUAAGAGCAUAGCUGUUGGGACCCGAAAGAUGGUGAACUAUGCCUGAAUAGGGUGAAGCCAGAGGAAACUCUGGUGGAGGCUCGCAGCGGUUCUGACGUGCAAAUCGAUCGUCAAAUUUGGGUAUAGGGGCGAAAGACUAAUCGAACCAU